GUGCCAGCAGCCGCGGUAAUACGUAGGUGGCAAGCGUUGUCCGGAUUUAUUGGGCGUAAAGGGAACGCAGGCGGUUUUUUAAGUCUGAUGUGAAAGCCUUCGGCUUAACCGGAGAUGUGCAUUGGAAACUGGAAGACUUGAGUGCAGAAGAGGAGAGUGGAACUCCAUGUGUAGCGGUGAAAUGCGUAGAUAUAUGGAAGAACACCAGUGGCGAAAGCGGCUCUCUGGUCUGUAACUGACGCUGAGGUUCGAAAGCAUGGGUAGCGAACAGGAUUAGAUACCCUGGUAGUCC
rnacentral:rRNA from 1 species